GAUAACACAAUGAUGAAGACAAGUAAUGAUUGAUGUGGUUUAGAGAACAUGCGGUUGGUGAAAGCAUGGACACAUUGAUGAUGAAAUCCACUUCUAAGUGACACUAAUCAUGUCCGUAGGUCUGCGUUAAAGAUAUUGAGGGCUAGACAUUGUUCUAGAACUAAGGUGGCACCGCGUAUAUACGUCCUUAGA
rnacentral:ncRNA from 1 species